UUUUUUUUUUUUUUUUUUUUUUUUUUCCAAUCAAAAUAUUUUUUUUAUAUUUAAUAGGAAACAAAAGU
rnacentral:ribozyme from 15 species